UUGAACGCUGGCGGCAGGCCUAACACAUGCAAGUCGAACGGUAACAGGAAACAGCUUGCUGUUUCGCUGACGAGUGGCGGACGGGUGAGUAAUGUCUGGGAAACUGCCUGAUGGAGGGGGAUAACUACUGGAAACGGUAGCUAAUACCGCAUAACGUCACAAGACCAAAGAGGGGGACCCUCGGGCCUCUUGCCAUCGGAUGUGCCCAGAUGGGAUUAGCUUGUUGGUGGGGUAACGGCUCACCAAGGCGACGAUCCCUAGCUGGUCUGAGAGGAUGACCAGCCACACUGGAACUGAGACACGGUCCAGACUCCUACGGGAGGCAGCAGUGGGGAAUAUUGCACAAUGGGCGCAAGCCUGAUGCAGCCAUGCCGCGUGUAUGAAGAAGGCCUUCGGGUUGUAAAGUACUUUCAGCGGGGAGGAAGGGAGUAAAGUUAAUACCUUUGCUCAUUGACGUUACCCGCAGAAGAAGCACCGGCUAACUCCGUG
rnacentral:rRNA from 1 species